CAAUAGCGUAUAUUAAUGUUGUUGCAGUUAAAAAGCUCGUAGUUGGAUCUUGGAACGUAGAGAGUAGGUCCGCCGUGAAGGUGAGUGCCAGCUUCUCGCGUUCUCCCUGCGGGACGUUCGCCAUUGAACUUAAUCGGACGAUGGUUUUCUUUGGCUUAGUCCAAGGAAACGUUUUAUUCGGAGAGGGCGGGUGCAGCCUUUUGGAGGUAUUCGUUCGCCGGGUAAGAUGGAAUGCCCGCUUUUUUACCUUGAGCAAAUUAGAGUGUUUAAAGCAGGCGAUUGCCUUGAAUACAAAAGCAUGGGAUAAUAGAAUAGGACUCUUGGUUCUAUUUUGUUGGUUUUGAGGACCAAAGUAAUGAUUAAUAGGGACGAUUGGGGGCAUUCGUAUUGACUUGCUAGAGGUGAAAUUCUUGGAUUGUGUCAAGACGAACUUGGGCGAAAGCAUCUGUCAAGGGCGUUUUCAUUAA
rnacentral:rRNA from 1 species